rnacentral:rRNA from 1 species
AUUGAACGCUGGCGGCAUGCCUUACACAUGCAAGUCGAACGGUAACAGGUCUUCGGAUGCUGACGAGUGGCGAACGGGUGAGUAAUGCAUCGGAACGUGCCCAGUAGUGGGGGAUAGCCCGGCGAAAGCCGGAUUAAUACCGCAUACGACCUGAGGGUGAAAGGGGGGGAUCGCAAGACCUCUCGCUAUUGGAGCGGCCGAUGUCAGAUUAGCUAGUUGGUGGGGUAAAGGCCUACCAAGACAACGAUCUGUAGUUGGUCUGAGAGGACGACCAGCCACACUGGGACUGAGACACGGCCCAGACUCCUACGGGAGGCAGCAGUGGGGAAUUUUGGACAAUGGGCGCAAGCCUGAUCCAGCAAUGCCGCGUGCAGGAAGAAGGCCUUCGGGUUGUAAACUGCUUUUGUCAGGGAAGAAAUCUUCUGGGUUAAUACCCCGGGAGGAUGACGGUACCUGAAGAAUAAGCACCGGCUAACUACGUGCCAGCAGCCGCAGUAACAC